rnacentral:lncRNA from 1 species
GCACAACGUCGAAAGCAGCCGUUGGGAGCCCAGGAGGCGGGGCGCCUGUGGGAGCCGUGGAGGGAACUUUCCCAGUCCCCGAGGCGGAUCCGGUGUUGCAUCCUUGGAGCGAGCUGAGAGCUCGAGUACAGAACCUGCUAAGGCCAUCAAACCUAUUGAUCGGAAGUCAGUCCAUCAGAUUUGCUCUGGGCCGGUGGUACCGAGUCUAAGCACUGCGGUGAAGGAGUUAGUAGAAAACAGUCUGGAUGCUGGUGCCACUAAUAUUGAUCUAAAGCUUAAGGACUAUGGAGUGGAUCUCAUUGAAGUUUCAGGCAAUGGAUGUGGGGUAGAAGAAGAAAACUUCGAAGGCUUAAGUAAGUUAACUUUUUCUAAUCCUAUUAUAAAAUAAUUGGGCCACAUGUCUUAGAAUUUUGAGUAACACUGUCUUGGGAAACACAAAAACAGUUUUUUAAAGCCAGUUACUAGAUAUCAUGUAUAUUUGUUGUUAUAGCACUUAAGAUAUCUUAGUCCUUACUUUAUACUCUCUUUCAGCUCUGAAACAUCACACAUCUAAGAUUCAAGAGUUUGCCGACCUACCUCAGGUUGAAACUUUUGGCUUUCGGGGGGAAGCUCUGAGCUCACUUUGUGCACUGAGGUGAUAAAAUAUUUUUAUCCAUUCACUUGACCCCUUAGAAAA